UACGAAGGGGGCUAGCGUUGUUCGGAAUUACUGGGCGUAAAGGGCGCGUAGGCGGCGUGUCAAGUCAGGCGUGAAAGCCCCGGGCUCAACCUGGGAACCGCGCUUGAGACUGGCAUGCUCGAGUUCGGGAGAGGAUGGUGGAAUUCCCAGUGUAGAGGUGAAAUUCGUAGAUAUUGGGAAGAACACCGGUGGCGAAGGCGGCGACCUGGUCCAUUACUGACGCUGAGGCGCGACAGCGUGGGGAGCAAACAGG
rnacentral:rRNA from 1 species